AGAUAAUAGAUACCCUGGUAGUCCUGGCCUUAAACGAUGAUCACUAGGUGUAGGAGGCUUCGACCCCUUCUGCGCCGCCGCUAACGCAUUAAGUGAUCCGCCUGGGGAGUACGGCCGCAAGGUUAAAACUCAAAGGAAUUGACGGGGGCCCGCACAAGCAGUGGAGCAUGUGGUUUAAUUCGAUGCUACGCGAAAACCUUACCAGGGUUUGACAUCCCGGUGUAACCCCAUAGAAAUAUGGGGCCCCUUCGGGCGCCGGUGACAGGUGGUGCAUGGUUGUCGUCAGCUCGUGCCGUGAGGUGUUGGAUUAAGUUCCGCAACGAGCGCAACCCUCGUUGCUAGUUGCCAUCAUUAAGUUGGGCACUCUAGCGAGACUGCCAGCGUCAAGCUGGAGGAAGGUGGGGAUGACGUCAAAUCAUCAUGCCCCUUACAUCCUGGGCUACACACGUGCUACAAUGGCCGGUACAACAGGUUGCUACCUCGCGAGAGGAUGCGAAUCCCCAAAGCCGGUCUCAGUUCGGAUUGUAGGCUGC
rnacentral:rRNA from 1 species